rnacentral:rRNA from 1 species
AGAGUUUGAUCAUGGCUCAGGACGAACGCUGGCGGCGUGCUUAACACAUGCAAGUCGAGCGGUAAGGCCCUUUCGAGGGUACACGAGCGGCGAACGGGUGAGUAACACGUGGGUGACCUGCCCUCAGCUCUGGGAUAAGCCUGGGAAACCGGGUCUAAUACCGGAUAUGACUCCAUGACGCAUGUUGUGGGGUGGAAAGCCUUGUGCGGCUGGGGAUGGGCCCGCGGCCUAUCAGCUUGUUGGUGGGGUGAUGGCCUACCAAGGCGACGACGGGUAGCCGGCCUGAGAGGGCGACCGGCCACACUGGGACUGAGACACGGCCCAGACUCCUACGGGAGGCAGCAGUGGGGAAUCUUGCACAAUGGGCGCAAGCCUGAUGCAGCGACGCCGCGUGUGGGAUGAAGGCUUUCGGGUUGUAAACCACUUUCAGCGGGGACGAAGCCUCACGGUGACGGUACCCGCAGAAGAAGGUCCGGCCAACUACGUGCCAGCAGCCGCGGUAAUACGGAGGGGGCAAGUGUUGUUCGGAAUUACUGGGCGUAAAGGGCGCGCAGGCGGCUUGGCAAGUCGAGUGUGAAAUACCUCAGCUUAACUGAGGAAUGGCGCUCGAAACUACCUCGCUAGAGGGCGGGAGAGGGAAGUGGAACUCUCGGUGUAGGGGUGAAAUCUGUAGAUAUCGAGAGGAACACCGGUGGCGAAGGCGGCUUCCUGGCCCGUACCUGACGCUGAGGCGCGAAAGCGUGGGGAGCAAACAGGAUUAGAUACCCUCGUAGUCC